UCUGGCUGGCCGUGGGGACGGGGGUGUCUUUCCCUCCCGGUGGGUUUUCGCGUGGCAACAUGAAGGCUCAACUUGCCUUCCCUGGUGUUUACACAGUUCCUGGUGUGAGCAACAGUUAUAUCUUCUUGACAGCCUUUGAAGGAGGAUGUCAUUGGCAGACUGGAGACACUUAAGCAAUCCUGCCUACACCCCCAGCCUGCCCAUCAUGACCGUUUUUACCCAUGAUGGUUGACCUGUGGAAGCAGGAUGGGAGGACAAGGACUGCGUGAAGAACAGCAGAUAACUGCAUGUUAAAUUCCCUGGGUGUGGAAAACUCAGAAUGUUCUCAAAAGAAAACAAAUACAGGAAUAGGAUACAUUGGAA